GCCGGUGUGUUGGAAUUGGCAGACAAGGCAGACUCAAAAUCUGUUGAUGGAAACAUCGUGCGGGUUCAAGUCCCGCCACCGGCA
rnacentral:tRNA from 1 species